GUUUUACCUUGCUUCAGGUUGACGCGUUGUUUUUGCAGCCACAUGUUGUGACAAAUGGGAACUUAUUGCUUCUAAACUGAUCAUUGUGAGCAGAAAACUAGCACCAUGGCUGUGGUACCUAGGGUGCUGUUUCUUCGUGUGAUGAUCCUGUGCUUCGUCAUGAGGAUUUGUGAUGCUGUUAAUGGCACCAGCGCUAG